rnacentral:rRNA from 1 species
UACGUAGGGGGCAAGCGUUGUCCGGAUUUAUUGGGCGUAAAGAGUGUGUAGGCGGUUCUCUCAGUUCGGUGUGAAAUCUCCCGGCUUAACUGGGAGGGUGCGCCGGAAACUGGAGUGCUCGAGCGUGGGAGAGGAAAGCGGAAUUCCUGGUGUAGCGGUGGAAUGCGCAGAUAUCAGGAGGAACACCAAUGGCGAAGGCAGAUCUCUGGGCCGUAACUGACGCUGAGGAGCGAAAGCAUGGGGAGCGAACAGG